rnacentral:rRNA from 1 species
ACGCUCGACACCUACGGGAGGCAGCGGUGGGGAAUAUUGCACAAUGGGGGAAACCCGUGAUGCAGCAACGCCGCGUGAGUGAAGAAGUAUUUCGGUAUGUAAAGCUCUAUCAGCAGGGAAGAUAAUGACGGUACCUGACUAAGAAGCUCCGGCUAAAUACGUGCCAACAGCCGCGGUAAUCUGAGCGGGCUGGCAAGGC